ensembl:lncRNA
AUUAUUCUUUAGUUCUGGAAGUCAGGUCAGUCAAAGCGCUGGGUAAUGAUGGGGGCUUCCAGGAUGGUGCCUUGUUGGUGCAUCCUCACCUGAUGGAAGGAGGGCGGACUAGAGGGGUAAACUCUCUCCGAACCCUUGUUUAUAAAGGGAUUAAUCCAUUCACAACAGUGGAGCUCUCAUGACUUAAUGACUUAAUCACUUCCCAAAAUGUGCACCUCUUAAUCCCACCACAGUGGGCAUUAUGUCUCAACAUGAAAUUUGCAGGGGACACCAGGACACCAUAUUUAAACCAUAGCAACCUUGUUUCUUUUCUUUUUCUUUCUUUUUUUUUUUUUUUUUUUUUGAGACGGAGUCUCGCUCUGCCGCCCAGGCUGGAGUGCAGUGGUGGUGCGAUCUCGGCUCACUGCAACCUCCACCUCCUGGGUUCAAGUGAUUCUCCUGCCUCAGCCUCCCGAGUACCUGGGACUAAGGCACGCACCACCACGCCCACCUAAUUUUUGUUUUUUUAGUAGAGACGGGGUUUCACUAUGUUGGCCAGGAUGGUCUCCAUCUCUUGACCUCGUGAUCCGCCCACCUUGGCCUCCCAAAGUGCUGGAAUUACAGGCAUGAGCCACUGUGCCCAGCCCACAUUCAGAUUUUCUACACUGCGACCUUGCUAAACUCUCUUAUUAAUUCUAAUAACUUAUCUACAGAUUCUUUUGGGUUUUCCAUAGACAAUGAUACUGACUACAAACAAUAGUAGUUUUGCUGUCUUCCCUUAUAAUCCUUAUAUUCUUCUUUCUUCUUUUUUGCGGAUCACCUGAGGUCGGGAGUUCAAGAUCAGCCUGACCAUCAUGGAGUAACCCCAUCUGUACUAAAAAUACAAAAAAUUAGCCGAGCAUGGUGGUGCAUGCCUGUAAUUCCAGCUACUCGGGAGGCUGAGGCAGGAGAAUCGCUUGAACUUGGGAGACGGAGGUUGCAGUGAGCCAAGAUCCUGCCAUUGCACUCCAGCCUGGGGUACAAGAGCGAAACUCUGUCUAAAAAAAAAAAGAGUUUAAAUAAAGUUUCCUUAGGAAUAUUUUCUCAACAUCUUACCCUCUCCUUAUUGCUCUGUGCUCCAGGGAUGCCAUUGAGCAGGUUUGUACCUGCCUCCUUUCAACCUGACUAUAUAUUACUGGAGAGAAGAAGUCUUAAGUGAGGGUGCAGAUGGCGGCUUUCAAGAAUUUGAAGAACUACCAAGGGGAGGGAGUGCAGGAGGAGGAAGUGCAGAGGGAGUCUUGGCAGCCCUGGGUGACAGAAUAAAAGGGGAGAUGGAAGGGCAGGAAAGCAGAUUUCCACAAGCAGAAAGAGAAGCUUUUUAGCAUCAUUGUUGUCUAACCAGAGAAUAGGUUGCUUUUUGAGACAGUGAGCUUCCCAGCUCUGGAAGUACUCAAGCAGGGCUAGAUACACACCUACCAAGGAUGCUGUACAGACCCCUCACCCCCAAUAUUGGGUGGGGUAUGGACCACAUUAUGUCUCCUGUCUCUUCCAACUUCAGUCUUGAGAUUUGUAAAGAAUUGGAUUCAUUUCUUCUUUUUUUAAAAUUGAACUUGGUUUUAUUAACAUCUUGUGGGUGUUUUUAAGUUCUGAGUAUUCAACUUUGACUAUGACGAAAAUGUCUAAUUUAAAGAGGUAACAAGGUAUUUAACACAUUGUGUAAUAUGAGCCAGAUAAAUUGCUUUCAUAAUGAGGGCUCCGUCCAAAUAAGGCAGAGGCCAUGAUCCCAGGUGGAAGGAAUGGAAAUGAAUCUAUUUCAAGGCCAAUAGCUACAGCCCAAAUUCACUCAACUCUACCAAACAUACCUGCACUGCCUCAGCAACUCAUCUCUACAAUUUGACAAGACAAUCAAAAGUACAUUUUGUACUUAAUGUAAUAAGAGGCUCAGAUAUAAAUGCCUACUUUUAUAUAUUUUUAACUUAUGCAGAUAGUUUGUUAUUUAACAAAUAGGUUAAACUGACUUUGUUGCAAAUGAGAUAUGAGGAUGUGCAUAUGAAGAAUAAUUGGGCUGGGAGCAGUGGCUCACACCUGUAAUCCCAGCACUUCGGGAGGCUGAGGCGGGUGGGUCAUGAGGUCAGGAGUUCGAGACCAGCCUAGCCAAGGUGGUGAAACCCCGUCUCUACAAAAAAUACAAAAAUUAGCCAGGCGUGGUGGCAGGUGCCUGUAAUCCCAUCUACAUGGGAGGCUGAGGCAGGAGAAUGGCUUGAGUCUGGGAGGCAGAGGUUGCAGUGACCUGAGAUCGUGCCAUUGCACUCCAGCCUGGGCAACACAGUUAGAGUUUUUUUAGACAGAGUCUUGCUGUCACCCAGGCUGGGGUGUAGUGGGGCAAUCUUGGCUCACUGCAACCUCUGCUUCCUAGGUACAAGUGAUUCUUCUGCCUCAGCCUCCCGAGUAGCUGAGAUUACAGGCGUGCACCACCACAUCUGGCAAAUUUUUGUAUUUUUAGCAGAGAUGGGGUUUCACCAUGUUGGCCAGGCUGGUCUCGAACUCCUGACCUCAGGUGAUCCACCUGCCUCGGCCUCCCAAAGUGCAGGAAUUACAGAUGUGAGCCACAGCGCCCCGCGGAACUUGAAUGCCAUUUGGUUUCUCAUAGCCUAUUUUCCCUCCUUCUUAAAAAAUGGGACAAAUAAUAUUACCAAAUGAAUGUAAAUAAAGGCAUUUAGGAAAUAAUGUGGAAAAGUUUUAAAGUGUUAUUUACUUUUUCUUUUCUUUUUUAAUUUUAGAUUCAGGGGG